CUAUGUGAAUCCACAGAAGUUUCAGGUAAGCCGGUAGAUCCAAAAAUUCAGAACAUUCUAUCUGACCCCAUCAUGAGAUAGGAGUGAUUGACCCCUCAUGCAUCGUGGAACAACUUGAGGCUCAAAUUGUAAAGGUGAAAGAAGAAGCUUUUAGCAGGAAAGAGAUUCUAUAGAAGGUUGAAAGUUGGUACUCACAAACCAUGCUAAGCAACAAAUAGCAGCUCCAAAGGAGCCUCAUCCCCUUCAGUGUGUUUUGUUUAUUCCAACCAUUUCUAUAAGAUGAUGCAGCUAAUUUAUUGUCUCCAUGUUGUACUUGCAUGCCUAGAUUUGUUUCAGUACGGUUUCUACCCUACAAACCAUGAUCACAGGACCCUACUUAGUUUA